rnacentral:rRNA from 1 species
UACGUAGGGUGCGAGCGUUAAUCGGAAUUACUGGGCGUAAAGUGUGCGCAGGCGGCUUCGCAAGUCGAGUGUGAAAUCCCCGAGCUUAACCUGGGAAUGGCAUUUGGGACUGCAAGGCUUGAGUGCGGCAGAGGAGACUGGAAUUCCUGGUGUAGCAGUGAAAUGCGUAGAUAUCAGGAGGAACACCGAUGGCGAAGGCAGGUCUCUGGGCUGACACUGACGCUCAUGCACGAAAGCGUGGGGAGCAAACAGG